CACCGGCGGCCCGAGUGGUGGCCACUAUUAUUGGGUCUAAAGGGUCCGUAGCCGGUUUGGUCAGUCUUCCGGGAAAUCUGACGGCUCAACCGUUAGGCUUUCGGGGGAUACUACCAGGCUUGGGACCGGGAGAGGUAAGAGGUACUACGGGGGUAGGAGUGAAAUCUUGUAAUCCCUGUGGGACCACCAGUGGCGAAGGCGUCUUACCAGAACGGGUCCGACGGUGAGGGACGAAAGCUGGGGGCACGAACCGGAUUAGAUACCCGGGUAGUCCCAGCUGUAAACUAUGCUCGCUAGGUGUCAGGGACGGUGCGACCGUUUCUGGUGCCGCAGGGAAGCCGUGAAGCGAGCCACCUGGGAAGUACGGUCGCAAGGCUGAAACUUAAAGGAAUUGGCGGGGGAGCACUACAACGGGUGGAGCCUGCGGUUUAAUUGGACUCAACGCCGGAAAACUCACCGGGGGCGACAGCAAUAUGUAGGUCAAGCUAAAGACUUUACCAGAAUCGCU
rnacentral:rRNA from 1 species